CUCAUGGAUACUAGUUGUGUUCUUUACUGCUGAACCACAAUGGGGACUCCCUUAGUGCUUUCCCAAUAAAUUUUCUGGGCUUCUGUUUCCUAGGGAACCUGACCUAAUACAAUCACUCUUUGCAAUGAAAUCGAGGAAAAAUGUCUGGAAUCCAAGGAGUUCUCUGUUGUAUUUUUGGUGCUUCCUUGCUGGUAAUAAUAAUGAACAGGGUAUCAAAGUAGUGCCAGCCUGGACUGAGGGUGCCAUGGCAUAACUCCUAUACUGCCGCUAGCUCAGGCACCAGAAGCAGAAGGCUGUCGACAGAAUAUGGUUCUCACAGUUCCUUGGCAGCAAAUGUUACUCUUCUUCUUGGACUGUGCUCUCAGAACCAGACUUUUCUUCAUCAGGAAAAUGAUAGAUUCUGCUCCACUCACAAACGCAUCAGAUUGAUUUUGAACUAUCCUGAUCCAUUGGAAAAAUUUCUAGGAAGAUCACCUUCAGUAAUCUCUUUGUCAUCUGGCAAUCCUGACUCGUGCCAUAGCUGAUUUUGGAUCAUAUUUGGGGUAUCUGGCAAGAAUAAUAUACCUGUGCAAUUUGUUGAAAUAUUUUCCUCCUGUUCUCAGACCAGUCUACUUUCUUUACCAUGCAAGACUGGCAUGUGUUUAUUUAAGGAAGGCUACAACAAAUUUGAUAUUACUACUUUUUUUUUUACAAAUAACAAUUUGUCUUCAGACAGAGAAAUUAAAGAUAAUUUACACUAACCUUAAUGGCAAACUCAAAAGUUAAGCCUGACCUCAAUAUUGAUACAGGUUAUGAAGGGGGAUUAAAUCACAAGAGAGGAAGCAAAGAAAUAACACACAGAGCCAGAGAAAAAUACAAGAGGACACCUCAACCUCCCUAGCAACUAAGUAGAAAGGGAAGAAAGAGAAGAAUGGAUUUGCCUUGACAUAUAUUAUUCAAACAAUUGUACUUUCAACACUCUUCAUAAUUAUUUUAUCCCAGUACAUGAUCCAAACUGAAAUAAAAA
rnacentral:lncRNA from 9 species